rnacentral:rRNA from 1 species
UACAGAGGUCUCAAGCGUUGUUCGGAUUCAUUGGGCGUAAAGGGUGCGUAGGCGGCGCGGUAAGUCGGGUGUGAAAUCUCGGAGCUUAACUCCGAAACUGCAUUCGAUACUGCCGUGCUUGAGGACUGGAGAGGAGACUGGAAUUUACGGUGUAGCGGUGAAAUGCGUAGAUAUCGUAAGGAAGACCAGUGGCGAAGGCGGAUCUCUGGAGCAGUUACUGACACUGAGGCACGAAGGCCAGGGGAGCAAACGGG